rnacentral:rRNA from 1 species
UACGGGGGGAGCAAGCGUUGUUCGGAAUUACUGGGCGUAAAGGGCGUGUAGGCGGUUGCGUAAGUCAGGGGUGAAAGGCACCGGCUUAACCGGUUGAUCUGCCCUUGAAACUGCAUGACUUGAGUACGGGAGAGGAGAGCGGAAUUCCCGGUGUAGCGGUGAAAUGCGUAGAUAUCGGGAAGAACACCAGUGGCGAAGGCGACUCUCUGGCCCAGUACUGACGCUGAGGCGCGAAAGCCAGGGGAGCGAACGGGAUUAGAUACCCCAGUA